AUGGCCAGGGGGAUGAUAUGACCUUGGGUAGGGGUGUGGGGCUGCCCAGGUGAGAUCGCAGUGGUGGUCUGGCCUGGAUUGGCAGCCCUGGGCCACCUUGUGUUACCUUUGGAUUGUUUUUGGUGAAUGGCUUGAACUUCCGUUGGGGGGGUAUGAGACCAUGUCUCAGCCUUGGUGAAAGUGUCGAACUCCUGCGUCUCUCAAGCUUUGAUACAAGGGAAGAUGGGAGACAACAAGAAAACAUGUUCCUAGCUUGAGUGUCUCCACUCAAGUGAGCUGGGUAGGGGGCUGGUUACCAGGGUUCCAAGUUCUGUGUACUCUGUCAUCAAGGAAGUGAGGUCAUGUCCUGGACUCCUGACUUGAGCCUGAUGUCAGUUAAGACUUCCCCCAAAUCCCCUCUGCACUGCAGAAUGCUCGCCUGUCCCCAUGCCAUCUCCAUAACUGUACACAGUGACACCAACACAGCCCUCCCCCCACCCCCAGAGCUUGUGGAAGGCUUGGGUGUAGCCAGGACCCCAGCUCUGAGCAUACAGAGCUGGGUUCAGACAAAGCUCAUCCCUCUCAAUCAGUUUGUGACCCUGGACAAGUCUUUGUGCUUCUCAGAGCCUCCCCAGUCCUCCUACCCAGACAGUAGGGAACAUUCUAGUGUCUUCUUCCUAGACACCUCAUCAGGUGUAUGUGAGAUAACACCUAUAGAACCCGUGGGCUGCCAUUACCUGAAGGUAACCAGGGGUGGAUUAUCUAAUAGGCAAGGUAAGCAUAGGGCUUACCUGCUUACCAGAUCAUCUGUAGUGAACAUUUUCACCUUUUCAUAUUUUUUCACCACAUCUAGUACUCUGCAUCUAGGUGUGGCUGGCAUCUAUCUCUCCCAACCCCAGAGCACCUUCCUACAGAAUCAAAGCCUCUUUUCAAGUAUACAUUCUCUGAUGGGGGGCAGGUGACCGUGAAAGCAAGGUAAACACAGGUCUACUUGUGCUUACUUACUAACCUGUAGUGAAUAAUUUCACGUGGGUUUUGCUACAUCAGAGAUGUGGUGUUCACCGUGCUUAUGUUGCCUAUUGGGUAAUCUGUCCAUGUAGCUAAUGAACAAACUCAGAGUUGGAAGAAUUUCAAGCAGGGGCGGGAAGCACCAGGGAGUACAUCUCCAAACAGGGCUGGGCUCAGGUGCUGUGAACUUGGGAAAGUCACUUCCACUCUCGGUCUCAUUUCCCAGUCUGCACUAGGAUGAGGUUGGAAUUAAAUGAAUGUCAGAUAUCAUCACCCUCUGCGUAAAACCUUCCAGUAACUCCCAUUAUAUACAAUCUGACCCAGUGUUUCAUCUCAGACUAGGGGGUGGGCAACCUGUACAGCAGCUCCCAACAAUCCUAACUCCUGGUCUCCACAUCCUGUGUGACCACGUCCCCUCACUUUGGAUUGGACUCAGGGACUUGUUUCUCAAGAGUGUUGUUGUUAGGUGCCACUGAGUCGAUUUCAAGUUAUAAUGACCCCAUUUGAGGCAAUGUUUCUUGGCCCUCUUUUAUUCUCUGUUUCUCAGUCAUCUCUCUGUCAUUUAUUUCUCUCUCUCCCCCCAGGAAGGAGCUGUGACGUAUGACCUGCCCAUGGAGAGACUCAUGUGACAAAGACCUGAUUGGAGGGUCUUGAUCAACAGACAGAGAGGAAGUGAGGCCCCCCAGACCAACAGCUUACAGAGUCCUGCUCAUAACAUGGAAGUAAGUAGGGAGCAGAUCCUCCCCGGUCAAGACUCAGUUGAGCCCACAACCACAGGGUCCUGAGAACUUGGGGCAGUCACCAGGUCUUUGGUGUAAGGGGGACCUCCGGAAACAUCUGAAUACUCUGCGAUCUUGGCCCCGCCUCACCCCAGAGCAACCUUAAAAAUGUUUUAGAGAUGACAAGGCUGUUGUCAGCGUGGGUCCCUGGAUGACUGCAUUGAGGAGGCCCACUGCAGUGACGGAUCUUUCACCUGUCCAGUAUCUGUACAGGAGCCACAAUUGGUGAUCAAUGGAUCGUGGUCUAGCAUGCAGAAGUGAGUGAGUGGAGAAAAGCAGCAGAGCUGGUGGGUUGUGAAGACAUGUGUUUGAAGGCUGCCACACUCUCUACUCCAGGGCUCCUCUAUAGUAUCUGAACACCUUGAGGCCAGAGACCAUGUCUUGUUCAACUCUGUACACCGGAGCGUAGCACAGUGCCUGGUCUGCGUGAGGCAGGUGUGUGUUCAGUGUAUGGCUGGUUGGGAAAUGACUUUGAUAGACUUGAUAAUGAACUCUAGUGUGGUGGCUGGAGAGCUGCAUAUCACUCAUGUCCACCGGGAGCCUGUGAGGAUAGUAACGAGGGCCCGUGUGCUAUUUCUAAGAUUUCUAAAUUCUCCUUAAAUAUCACACAUUUAUCCAGCGUAAGAAAACUCCCUGAUGAAAAUGUCCAUUUGCAUUGUUUCUGGCUGGAAUUCUAUAAGCCCUCUCAGAUUACCCCAGUUUUUUCAUGAGAAGCAGAGAAUGUAAUCGGCUGUUAAUAUAUGUAUAUCCUUUUUUUUUUUUUAAAGAAGUGUGCAAAUUAUUGCAUAAGUGCAGUUUUUGGAGACAGAAAGGUAUGUAAAAUCACCAGUAAACUGUACAGGAUAAAGAAUAAAAUGUUUUCCUUAGUAGUGAAAGGGUUGAGAGCCAAAUUUAUGUCAUCAUUUAUUCAAAUACUUAUUGAUUGAGCACCACUUACAUGCCGGGCACAGUUUUAAGAGCUUGAGAUACAGUAGUGAACACGACAGACAAGAUCUGCUGCUCCCGGAGUUUACCUUCUAUGGGGAGAAAGACACUGUAAACAAAUAAACCAAUAAACAUAUAAGGAACUAUCUGAUAAUGGGAAAUGCUCCCCAUAGAAUGGAGUCUCUGGGUGGUGCAAAUGGAUAAGGUGCUUAGCUGCAAAUUGAAAGGUUGGUGGUUCGAAUUCAAGACCUGGUGAUCCACUUCCGAAACAUCAGCCACUGAAAACCCCGUGGAACACAGUUCUACUCUGACAGACACGGGGUUGCUGUGAAUCGGCAUCGACUCAAUGGCAACUGGUUGUACUCAGAGAAUGAAAAUUGAGGGAUUUUCUAAAGGGUGACUGGGUGGCAGGAAAGGCCUCUAUGAGAAGGUGACAUUUAAGCUGGGUCGUAAGUGACAAAAACUAUUAGAAGAAAGAGCACUUGAAGAAGAGGGAAUCAUGCAAAGGGCCCCCGGGGCAGGACCAAAUGAGGCAUUUUCAUUGCGUGUGUUUAUUGACUUGUGACAGUCUGUACCACACACUUGAUGACCUAAAAUCAGAUACUACUCAAGAAUAGUGAAUGGACUCUUAGGCUUAUAUAUCUGGUAACAGCCUAAACCAGCUGAUAAUAGGACAUAAGUGAUUCAAGGGAUACAGCAAUCAGGACAGCGCAAUCUAGGAGCCCAUCUAUGUAUAUUGAAAGAAAACAAAACACAAUAAGACUCGGUGAGCAAAUAUAAAAUAAAUCACUACAAUAUCUUAGAGAUGGGUCGGAGACAGCAUUCGAUAUCAAACCACGUAAAGAAGCAGACCAUGAUUGCUUCUAAAACUCCCCAAACUAAAGAAUCAAAAUCUUUCCCAAAUGAAGGUACAAUACUGGAAUUGCCAGAUGCAGGAUAUAAAAAACUAAUUUGCAGAAUGCUUCAAGAUAUCAGGGAUGAUCUCAGAAAUGAAAUAAGUCAAUCAACAGAAAAAGCCAAGAAACACACUGAUAAAGCUGUUGAAGAAAUCAAAAAGAUUACUCAAGAGCAUAGUGGAAAAAUUAAUAAGCUUCAAGAAUCGAUAGAGAGGCAGCAUUCAGAAAUCCAAAAGAUUAACAGUAAAAUUAUAGAAUUAGACAACUCAAUAGGAAGUCAGAGGAGAAGACUCAAGCAAUUGGAAUGCAGAGUGGGGGAUCUGGAGGACAAGGGAAUGGACACCAAUAUAGCUGGAAAAAAAUUAGAUAAACAAAUUUAAAAAAAAUGAAGAAACCCUAAGAAUCAUGUGGGACUCUAUCAAGAAGAAUAACUUGCAUGUGAUUGGAGUCCGAGAACAGGGAGGGAUAACAGAAUAUACAGAGAGAAUAGUUGAAGAUCUGUGCUCGGAAAAAUUCCCUGACAUCAUGAAAGAUGACAGGAUAUCUAUCCAAGAUGCUCAUAGAACCGCAUAUAAGAUUGAUCCAAAAAGAAAAUCACCAAGACAUAUUAUCAUCAAACUUGCAAAAACCAAAGAUAAAGAGAAAAUUUUAAAAGCAGCCAGGGAUAAAAGAAAGGUCUCCUACAAAGGAGAAUCAAUAAGUUCAGACUAGUCAGCAGAAACCAUGCAGUCCAGAAGGGAAUGGGAUGACAUAUAUAGAGCACUGAAGGAGAAAAACUGCCAGCCAAGGAUCCUUUAUCCAGGAAAACUCUCUCUCUAAUAUGAAGGCGAAAUUAAAACAUUUACAGAUAAACACAAGCUUAGAGAAUUUCCAAAAACCAAACCAAAGCUCCAAGAAAUACUAAAGGAAAUUGUUUGGUCAGAAAAUCAAUAACGUCAGAUAACAACACAACACAAGGUCAAAGAACAGAACAUCCUGAUAUCAACACAAAUAGGGAAAUCACAAAACAAAUUAAGAUUAAUUUUAAAAAGAAAAAAACGCUCAAAACAGGGAAUCAUUGAAGUCAUUAUGUAAAAGAUCACAAUAAUCAAAAAGAGGGACCAAAUGCAGGUGGCACAGAACUGCCAUAUGGAGAGGGAUACAAGGCGAUAUAGGACAAUACAAGUUAGGUUUUUACUUAGAAAAAAAGGGGUAAAUAUUAAGGUAACCACAAAGAGGUAAAACAACUCCAUAACUCAAAAUAAAAACCAAGAAAAACAUAACAACUCAGCAAACAUAAAGUCAACUACUAUGAAAAUGAGGAGCACAAAAUUUACAAAGAAAAACGUCUCAGCACAAAAAAGUAAGUGGAAAAAUGAAAUUGUCAACAACACACACAAAAAGACAUCAAAAUGACAGCACUAAACACAUAUCUAUAAUUACGCUGAAUGUAAAUGGACUAAAUGCACUAACAAAGAGACAGAGAGUCUCAAACUGGAUAAAGAAACACGAUCUGUGUAUACGCUGCCUACAAGAGACACCUUAGACUUAGAGACACAAACAAACUAAACCUCAUAGAAUGGAAAAAAAUAUACCAAGCAAAAAAGAGCAGGAGUAGCAAUAUUAAUUUCUGACAAAAUAGACUUUAAAGUUAAAUCCACAACAAAGGAUAAAGAAGGACACUACAUAAUGAUUAAAGGGACAAUAGACCAGGAAGAUAUAACCAUAUUAAAUAUUUAUGCACCUAAUGACAGAGCUGCAAGAUACAUAAAACAAACUUUAACAGAACUGAAAAGUGAGAUAGACACGUCCACAAUUAUAGUAGGAGACUUCAACACACCACUUUCGGAGAAGGACAGGACUUCCAGUAAGAAGCUCAAUAGAGACACAAAAGACCUAGUUGCUGCAGUCAACCAACUUGACCUCAUUGACUUAUACAGAACACUCCACCCAAUAGUUGCAAAGUAUCCUUUUUUUUUCUAGUGCACAUGGAACAUUCUCUAGAAUAGACCACAUAUUAGGUCAUAAAACAAACCCUUCCAAAAUCCAAAACAUCGAAAUAUUACAAAGCAUCUUCUCAGACCACAAGGCCAUAAAAGUGGAAAUCAGUAACAGAAAAUUAGGGAAAAGAAAUCAAAUACUUGGAAACUGAACAGUACCCUGCUCAAAGAAGACUGGGUUAUAGAAGACAUUAAGGAGGGAAUAAAGAAAUUCAUAGAAUGCAACGAGAAUGAAAACACUUCCUAUCAAAACCUCAGGGACACAGCAAAAGAUGUGUUCAGAGGUGAAUUUAUAUCGAUAAAUGCACACAUACAUAAAGAAGAAAGAGCCCAAAUCAGAGAACUGUCCCUACAACUUGAACAAAUAAAAAGUGAGCAACAAAAGAAUCCAUCAGGCACCAGAAGAAAACAAAUAAUAAAAAUUAGACCUGAACUAAAUGAAUUAGAGAACAGAAAAACAACUGAGAGAAUUAACAAAGCCAAAAGCUGGUUGUUUGAGAAAAAUAACAAAAUUGAAAAACCAUUGGCCAGACUGAGUAAAGAAAUACAGGAAAGGAAACAAAUAACCCGAAUAAGAAAAGAGAUGGGCCACAUCACAACAGACCCAAAUGAAAUUAAACGAAUCAUAUCAGAUUAUUAUGAAAAAUUGUACUCUAACAAAUUUGCAAACCUAGAACAAAUGCAUGACUUCCUAGAAACACACUACAUACCUAAACUAACACAAUCAGAAGUAGAACGACUAAAUAGACCCAUAACAAAAAAAGAGAUUGAAAAGGCAGUCCAAAAACUCCCCAACAAAAAAAAAAAGCCCUGGCCCGGACGGCUUCACUGCAGAGUUCUACCAAACUUUCAGAGAAGAGUUAACACCACUACUGCUAAAGGUAUUUCAAAGCAUAGAAAAUGAUGGAAUACUACCUAACUCAUUCUAUGAAGCCACCAUAUCCCUGAUACCAAAACCGGGUAAAGACAUCACAAAAAAAGAAAAUUACAGACCUCUAUCUCUCAUGAACAUAGAUGCAAAAAUCUUCAACAAAAUUCUAGCCAAUACAAUUCAACAACAUAUCAAAAAAAUAAUCCACCACGACAGAGUGGGAUGUAUACUAGGUAUGCAAGGCUGGUUUAAUAUUAGAAAAACCAUUAAUGUAAUCUACCGUAUAAAUAAAACAAAAGGCAAAAACCACAUGGUCUUACCAAUUUGUGCAGAAAAGGCAUUUGACAAAGUCCAACACCCACUUACGAUAAAAACUCUCAGCAAAAUAGGAAUAGAAGGAAAAUUCCUCAACAUAAUAAAGGGCAUCUAUACAAAGCCAACAGCCAACAUCACCCUAAAUAGAGAGAGCCUGAAAGCAUUUCCCUUGAGAACAGGAACCAGACAAGGAUGCCCUUUAUCACCGCUCUUAUUCAACAUUGUGCUAGAGGUCCUGGCCAGAGCAAUUAGGCUAGACAACGAAAUAAAGAGCAUAUGGUUUGGCAAGGAGGAAGUCAAAUUAUCUCUAUCUGCAGAUGACAUGAUCUUAUACACAGAAAACCCUAAGGAAUCCUCCGGAAAACUACCGAAACUAAUAGAAGAGUUUGGCAGAGUCUCAGGUUAUAAAAUAAACAUACAAAAAUCACUUGGAUUCCUCUACAUCAACAAAAAGCACAUCGAAGAGGAAAUCACCAAAUCAGUACCAUUCACACUAGCCCCCAAGAAGAUAAAAUACUUAGGAAUAAAUCUUACCAAAGAUGUAAAAGACUUAUACAAACAAAACUACAAAGUACUAGAGCAAGAAACUAAAAAGGACCUACAUAAGUGGAAAAACAUACCUUGCUCGUGGAUAGGAACACUUAACAUAGUAAAAAUGUCUAUUCUACCAAAAGCCAUCUAUACAUACAAUGCACUUCCGAUCCAAAUUCCAAUGACAUUUCUUAAUGUGAUGGAGAAACAAAUCACCAACUUCAUAUGGAAGGGAAAGAAUUCUCGGAUAAGUAAAGCAUUACUGAAAACAAGAAGAAAGUGGGAGGCCUCACUCUACCUCAUUUUAGAAUGUAUUAUACAGCCACAGUAGUCGAAACAGCCUGGUACUGGUACAAGAACAGGCACAUAGACCAAUGGGACAGAAUUGAGAACCCAGAUAUAAAUCCAUCUACAUAUGAGCAGCUGAUAUUUGACAAAGGCCCAGUGUCAGUUAAUUGGGGAAAAGAUAGUCUUUUUAACAAAUGGUGCUGGCAUAACUGGAUGUCCAUUUGCAAAAAAAUGAAACAGGACCCAUACCUCACGCCAUGCACAAAAACUAACUCCAAGUGGAUCAAAGACCUAAACAUGAAGACUAAAACGAUAAAGAUCAUGGAAGAAAAAAUAGGGACAACGUUAGGAGCCCUAAUACAAGGCAUAAACAAAAUACAAAACAUUACCAAAAAUGCCGAAGAGAAACCAGAUAACUGGGAGCUCCUAAAAAUCAAACACCUAUGCUCAUCUAAAGACUUCACCAAAAGAGUAAAAAGACCACCUACAGACUGGGAAAGAAUUUUCAGCUAUGAC